GAUGAACGCUGACAGAAUGCUUAACACAUGCAAGUCGAUGGGGAAGUGGUGCUUGCACCAUGGCAACCAUGGCGGACGGGUGAGUAACGCGUAAGGGACUUACCUGCAGGACUGGGAUAACAGGGGGAAACUCCUGACAAGACCGGAUAAUGUCAUGGAGCUGCAUGGCUUUAUGAUGAAAGGAGACGCCUGCGGAGAGCCUUGCGUCCUAUUAGCUAGUUGGUAAGGUAAUGGCUCACCAAGGCGAAGAUAGGUAGCCGGCCUGAGAGGGUGGACGGCCACAAGGGGACUGAGAUACGGCCCUUACUCCUACGGGAGGCAGCAGUGGGGAAUAUUGGACAAUGGGGGCAACCCUGAUCCAGCAAUUCUGUGUGCACGAAGAAGGUUUUCGGAUUGUAAAGUGCUUUCAGCAGGGAAGAAGUAAGUGACGGUACCUGCAGAAGAAGCGACGGCUAAAUACGUG
rnacentral:rRNA from 1 species